rnacentral:rRNA from 1 species
AUUGAACGCUGGCGGCAGGCUUAACACAUGCAAGUCGAGCGAGCGGCGGACGGGUGAGUAAUGUCUGGGAAACUGCCUGAUGGAGGGGGAUAACUACUGGAAACGGUAGCUAAUACCGCAUACCAUCAGAUGUGCCCAGAUGGGAUUAGCUAGUAGGUGGGGUAAUGGCUCACCUAGGCGACGAUCCCUAGCUGGUCUGAGAGGAUGACCAGCCACACGGUAACUGAGACACGGUCCAGACUCCUACGGGAGGCAGAAGUGGGGAAUAUUGCACAAUGGGCGAAAGCCGGAUAAAGCCAUGCCGCGUGUGGGAAGAAGGAGUUCGGGUUGUAAAGCACUUUCAGCGAGGAGGCGGGACUCACAGAAGAAGCACAGACUAACUCCGUGCCAGCAGCCGCGGUAAUUC